rnacentral:snRNA from 1 species
GUGCUCACUUUGGCAGCACAUGUAUUAAAACUGGAAAGACACGGAGAAGAUUAGCAUGGCCCCUGCACAAGGAUGACACGCAACUUCAUGAAGCGUUCCACAUUUUU